CCCACCUGUGCAGAACGGAACCUGAGCCAUCUCUCCACCACCCAACUUCUCGAAUUCUUAGCAGACAGAUGCCAAGAGCCACUCACUUUGUCUGUCUCCGCCUUUUAUAUGUGACCAGUGUGAACACCACCAGCACCGUCACCAGGAGGACUGCUGCCAUGGCAACGGUAGCAGAGAUGAUAUUCUUCUGCAGGAAGCUCAGCAGCUGUCCGCACGGCAGACUCUCCCUGGAGGCACCUAGGUAGGAAGACACAAGAGCAGAAGCUAGAGGAGGCCUGAAUCCAUCCCUGACAGG
rnacentral:lncRNA from 1 species